CAGCAGCCGCGGGAAUAGGAAGGGUGCAAGCGUUAAUCGGAAUUACUGGGCGUAAAGCGUGCGUAGGCGGUUUGUUAAGUCUGUUGUGAAAUCCCCGGGCUCAACCUGGGAAUGGCAAUGGAUACUGGCAAGCUAGAGUGUGUCAGAGGAUGGUGGAAUUCCCGGUGUAGCGGUGAAAUGCGUAGAGAUCGGGAGGAACAUCAGUGGCGAAGGCGGCCAUCUGGGACAACACUGACGCUGAGGCACGAAAGCGUGGGGAGCAAACAGGAUUAGAUACCCCCGUAGUCCCUGUCUCUUAUAC
rnacentral:rRNA from 1 species